CAGUCGCCACGGUAAUACGUAGGGUGCAAGCGUUAAUCGGAAUUACUGGGCGUAAAGCGUGCGCAGGCGGUUCGUUAAGACAGAUGUGAAAUCCCCGGGCUUAACCUGGGAACUGCAUUUGUGACUGGCGGGCUAGAGUAUGGCAGAGGGGGGUAGAAUUCCACGUGUAGCAGUGAAAUGCGUAGGGAUGUGGAGGAAUACCGAUGGCGAAGGCAGCCCCCUGGGCCAAUACUGACGCUCAUGCACGAAAGCGUGGGGAGCAAACAGGAUUAGAUACCCCCGUAGUCCCUGUCUCUUAUAC
rnacentral:rRNA from 1 species